rnacentral:rRNA from 1 species
GUAGGUGGCGAGCGUUAUCCGGAAUUAUUGGGCGUAAAGAGCGCGCAGGUGGUUGAUUAAGUCUGAUGUGAAAGCCCACGGCUUAACCGUGGAGGGUCAUUGGAAACUGGUCGACUUGAGUGCAGAAGAGGGAAGUGGAAUUCCAUGUGUAGCGGUGAAAUGCGUAGAGAUAUGGAGGAACACCAGUGGCGAAGGCGGCUUCCUGGUCUGUAAUUGACGCUGAGGCUCGAAAGCGUGGGUAGCGAACAGGAUUAGAUACCCUGGUAGUCCACGCCGUAAACGAUGAGUGCUAAGUGUUGGAGGGUUUCCGCCCUUCAGUGCUGGAGUUAACGCAUUAAGCACUCCGCCUGGGGAGUACGGCCGCAAGGCUGAAACUCAAAGGAAUUGACGGGGACCCGCACAAGCGGUGGAGCAUGUGGUUUAAUUCGACGCAACGCGAAGAACCUUACCAGCUCUUGACAUCUUCUGUUCACCCUAGAGAUAGGGCUUCCCCUUCGGGGGCAGAAUGACAGGUGGUGCAUGGUUGUCGUCAGCUCGUGUCGUGAGAUGUUGGGUUAAGUCCCAUAACGAGCGCAACCCUUAUUGUUAGUUGCCAGCAUUUAGUUGGGCACUCUAGCGAGACUGCCGGUGAUAAACCGGAGGAAGGUGGGGAUGACGUCAAAUCAUCAUGCCCCUUAUGAGCUGGGCUACACACGUGCUACAAUGGACGGUACAACGGGUAGCGAGGGCGCGAGCCUUAGCAAAUCCUAAUAAGCCGUUCUCAGUUCGGAUUGUUCUCUGCAACUCGAGAGCAUGAAGCCGGAAUCGCUAGUAAUCGCGGAUCAGAAUGCC